rnacentral:rRNA from 1 species
GACGUAGGGCGCGAGCGUUGUCCGGAUUUAUUGGGCGUAAAGAGCUCGUAGGCGGCUUGUCGCGUCGGCUGUGAAAUCCCGUGGCUCAACUGCGGGUCUGCAGCCGAUACGGGCAGGCUAGAGUUCGGUAGGGGAGACUGGAAUUCCUGGUGUAGCGGUGAAAUGCGCAGAUAUCAGGAAGAACACCCGUGGCGAAGGCGGCUCUCUGGGACGUGACUGACGCUGAGACGCGAAAGCGUGGGGAGCGAACAGG